UACGGAGGGUGCAAGCGUUGUCCGGAUUUAUUGGGUUUAAAGGGUGCGUAGGCGGCUUUUUUAAGUCAGCGGUGAAAGACAACAGCUCAACUGUUGCAGUGCCAUUGAUACUGAAGAGCUUGAGUACAGAUGAGGUAGGCGGAAUUUAUGGUGUAGCGGUGAAAUGCGUAGAUACCAUAAAGAACACCUAUUGCGAAGGCAGCUUACUAAGCUGUAAC
rnacentral:rRNA from 1 species